rnacentral:rRNA from 1 species
AACGAACCGUGCGAACGUUGUUCGGAAUCACUGGGCUUAAAGGGCGCGUAGGCGGGCUACCAAGUCUGUGGUGAAAUCCUCCAGCUUAACUGGAGAACGGCCGUGGAUACUGGUGGUCUCGAGGGAGAUAGGGGCAAGCGGAACUGUGCGUGGAGCGGUGAAAUGCGUUGAUAUGCACAGGAACUCCGGUGGCGAAGGCGGCUUGCUGGAUCUCUUCUGACGCUGAGGCGCGAAAGCUAGGGGAGCGAACGGG